rnacentral:rRNA from 1 species
AACGAACGCUGGCGGCAUGCCUAACACAUGCAAGUCGAACGAGACCUUCGGGUCUAGUGGCGCACGGGUGCGUAACGCGUGGGAAUCUACCCUUGGGUUCGGAAUAACUCAGAGAAAUUUGAGCUAAUACCGGAUGAUGUCGCAAGACCAAAGAUUUAUCGCCCAAGGAUGAGCCCGCGUAGGAUUAGCUUGUUGGUGAGGUAAAAGCUCACCAAGGCGACGAUCCUUAGCUGGUCUGAGAGGAUGAUCAGCCACACUGGGACUGAGACACGGCCCAGACUCCUACGGGAGGCAGCAGUGGGGAAUAUUGGACAAUGGGCGAAAGCCUGAUCCAGCAAUGCCGCGUGAGUGAUGAAGGCCUUAGGGUUGUAAAGCUCUUUUACCCGGGAUGAUAAUGACAGUACCGGGAGAAUAAGCCCCGGCUAACUCCGUGCCAGCAGCCGCGGU